rnacentral:tRNA from 1 species
UGCCCUGUAGUUUAGUUGGUAAAACAUUAGGCACAUAAGAAUGUCUAAGAAUUGGGGUUCGAUUCCUCGACGAGGCGCUA